rnacentral:ncRNA from 1 species
CACUGUCGCCAGGGGAGCCCGCAGCUGUUGGGCUGAGAAUGCGCACUGCGCAGACCCUGGAACCUGAUCCGGUUCAUACCGGCGGAGGAAGUGCGACAUGCCUUACCU